UGUUUUUGCGUACUUCAAUGAGCAUAAAAGUGAAGCGAAAGCUUCACGAUAUGCGAAUUGAAGUUAACGGAUUGCGAGAGCACGCAGUGCGUAGCAAUCCGUUAGGAAAACA
rnacentral:sRNA from 1 species